UCUAGUACUAUUGAGAAGAUCAAAGUAUUUUUCCAAGAGAAACUUAAGGUUGUUCAAAGUCGUCAGAAGAGUUAUGCCAAUCUCCACCAACGAGAAGUUGAGUUUGAGGUUGGUGACGAUGUCUUCUUGAAAGUUAUUCUCAUGCUUGGUAUGACGAGAUUUGGAGUGAAGGGUAAGCUAGCCCCGAGGUAUAUUGGACCUUUCGAGGUUAUCGAGAGGGUUGGGGAGGUCGCUUAUCGAUUGAACUUACCAGAGUGGUUGAGGCAUGUUCACAAUGUGUUCCAUGUGUCGAUGCUGAGGAAGUAUACUCCAGACCCAUCGCACAUCAUUGAGUAUGACGCUAUCCCUCUUCAAGAGGAUGUGACAUGGGAAUAACAACCUAUCAGAAUCUUGGCAAGAGAGUUAAAGGUGUUAAGGAAUAAAGAGAUUCCCGUAGUCAAGGUCUUAUGGAGAAACCAUAGAGAAGAUGGGGUACUUGGGAGUUAGAGUCGGAGAUGUAUGAGAAUUAUCUUCAUUUGUUUAAUUUUCUGCUUGAGGUUGUACUUUGAAAAUUUCGGGACGGAAUUUCUUUAAGGAGGGAGGAAUGUGAAACCUGUGGACUUCUCAGGUUGAAAAGUAAAAAAAAAAAAGAAAUAAAAAUAAUAAAUUAUAUAUAUAAGUGGUGGGACCCACAUAUUUUUUUUAUUAAUAUUCAGAUUUUUUUCCCUUUUUCUUCUCCUUCCCUGACUUUUCUUCUUUCUUCUUCUUCUUCUUUUCAUUCCUUGUUUUUCUCUCCGCAAGCCACGGCAAGGGAACCAGACCCAACCACUGCCAGCCACCAUUUCUGACAUGCGCCAGUGCUGCAGCUUCCCUGAUCGCCGACGACAGCAACCUCAAAGUUUGGUGACCAUUGGAGCAAGGAUGUGCCCGUACGGCCACUCUGAAGUUUUACCAUCAAAACUUUGAGGUGACUUUCCGGCAAACUUCGACCACCGUUCGACGAGUGGGUGGCACCAUUGGAAUCAGCAUCGUGUGAGGAACGUUGCCCACUAAGUCGUUCUGGUCAACUCGCCAUUUUUCUCCAGUGAGAUUUUGGGUAUCUCCGCCCUUUUGGAAGCAUUUUUCGGCGACAUCGGAGGUCAUUUGGGCAAAGGAGUUGUACUUCGGUGAUGUACUCAUUGAGGGCAUCGUUUUGAUAUAUGUCAUGCAUAUAUUCGUUGACGUUUCUGAUACACCACUCACUGCCGCCACCAACCGCUACUGUGCACCGCUUGGGAAAAAUGUGAUAUUAAAAUUGGACUAAAUCUCUCUAGGAUCAUCGUUAAGCUUAGGAGCGUCGCUUUGGGCUUGGAUUGAAAAUUCUAAGGAGGUAGGGACUCAACUUGACUAUUGGACUUAUUUUACUUGUAUUGAAUUGCAUUAAACAUAUUCCAAUUUUGAUAUUUAUAAAAUGUUUAAAAAAUCGAAAAAUUAAUCUACAUGUUUUCUAAUCUGUUCUGAGGGCACUGAGUGCCAAAUAUAUUUUUGUUCACUUAUUUAUACAGGUUAUGAUUUUUGGGUUCUAUUCAAAUGCAGCUGUUAUGUUGCCCAAUUUUAAAAAAUAUAAAGGGAAUAUGUUUCUUUCUUUUCAUGUUUACUUGCAUUUGGUUAUACCGUUGAGAGCCAUAGUGAUCAUGAUUUGUGCAUGUUGUUGUUUCACGACCUAGUCUCUGUGUAAUCAUAGAUAGAUCAGGUGUUCACUCAGUUGCAGGUCUAAAGACCUAGCAUCUGUAUACAGGAAGUGUUCUGAGCCUCCCCCUUGGGGUGGUUAUCAGGUUUGGCUACCCGGUUUAGGAUGUCAGUUUUUCUAUGGUGGGUAACGGGAACUAGGGAUUUAGUGGACGGUGUGAUGUGCACUUGUAGCUAUGCUGUUAUGAUUAUUUGUGGUUGCUCUCUAUUUUGGUUUAUACAUGAUGUUAUAUGUUUUGUUUUCAAAAGCUAACCAUGCAGGGGUUUUAUUAAACUUUCGUGUCCUAUGUUAUUAGUUGUUUUCCUACUGGGCUUUAUAAGCUCACCCCCUAUAUCUCUCCCAUUCCAGGAACCUAGUGACGCGAAUGUGGAUAAGGUGAGUUAUUGAUAGAGCCAAUAUGUUUAGCCUAGUUCUAUUUAAUGCCAUAGUCCUAACUUUUGAGCAUUUAAAAAUAUAUUAGAUUUGGAACCUAACGAUCGGUAAAUCUAAAUUAGCUAUGUAAUAGUUAGGAAUGAGGAAUGGUGGAUGCUAAGUAUUAUUUUGGGUGUUUAUGACUUAUUAAAUUUAACUGUUUGAUGAUUACAUAACUGUGGGAAUAUUAUUGUUCUAUGUAUAAUGAUAAAUGAUCAUGCUUUUAUCACUAAUAUUUUUAUAUAUAAUUAUAGGAGUUAUUCCUCUAUUUAAACUUAUAAUCAUAGUACUAUUUAAUAUAAACUAAAUGAUCAUUUAUAAAGACUAUUUUCCAAUAAGGGUCAAAGUUUGACCUUUGACCACCCAAGUUAUGGAUAUUACAAAUCUGCCAUAGCCUAGGGCUCAGGUCGUGACAGGAACUCUCCUCGUCUAACCUGAAUUCGAAGGGGAGAGGAGCUGUUCCCCUGUCCAAGACGACUAUGCGACUUGCAGUGAUGAGCACCUGAAGGCUUCCUCCCCUUGUACCAGUACUUUGUGAAUUUCUUGAAUUACGUGAAGCUGGCUUCAUUCCAGCAUCCCCCAAAUUCAUAUAGACUUUUGGCAGGUCUGAAGUACAUGUUCCUAAAACAUGAGUGGGAGGUCUCCACCCUGGCAGACAUAUUGUAUUUUUCUGUCUCAAGGCAAGCCCCGACUAGAGGGAACGCGGUGAUGGAUUCUACUACCUCACGUGAUUUUCUAACUCUGCCUUUGUCAUUGAGCUCCCUAGCCAUCCAAACGAUUAUAAAGAUUUAUUCUUUAUGUCGAAUGGAUUCAGAAACUGCGAUCACUAUUACUUCAACCGACCUCCCAUAUUUGCGAGGACGGAAAAGUCUGUGACCCUUGGGGGUUAAUACGAAAAAUUAUCCAGACUUCCCCCUGGCGAAAAGUACUAUCGCUAGGUUGUGAACGAUGCCACCAUGUUCGCAUGCAAGUUGGUCGGAGAGGGGCAGACACUAGCUCUGAGGGCUCAGGCUCCGCUCCCAACCGUCCUCGAGAAUCCCGCUCCUCAAGAGGCUUUACCGGUCUGUGAGGACAGCGAGGAGGAAGAGGUCGAGGUGCCUCUUAUGUGAAAAAGAUAGGCUGCCGAGGCUGUUUAGGAACCCUAUCCAGAUCGAGUUGUGUUAGGGGCAGCAGCCAGCCCCUCUGGCCAAGGUAACCCAUACCCCUUUAGGGAAUUAGAUAGGGUUGUUGCUGAUUUUAGGUUAGUUCGUUAUAAUCCGAAUCAGCUCGUCCACAGUCUUCCUUCCAACUUGGAUCUAAAUGUAACCCUGCUUCAGUGCAUAGAUCACCUAGUGGUACACCAUGACAAUAGUUAUCCUAGGGGCACAAUCGUAGUUGACAACACCCUAAAUUUUAGAUCUACAAUUUUUGAAGAAUGCGGGACAAACCUUAGAUCUUGGCCUUUUCUGCUCCAGGGUGCAUUUUCCCCUAGAUUCAGACAAUAUGUAGACGACUCCAGCCCUGAGGAAGAACCUAAAAUCCUUAGAUCCAAGAAGUAUUAUCUGUAGACUCCCAUUCACCUCCAUUAGUUCCAAGGCCGGAGGUCGUGCUUAUCCUAGAUAAAACACCCGAGCUGGUGAUAAUAGACUCCUCCCCCAGCCUGGAGGGCGAAGAGAUGGAACAACCAGGAGCUCCCAACCUCUGAACUGCUUUCCAGGCUAAGAAAGUCGGCACGGGCCCCGUCGUGAAGAGGCUCAGGGUGAUGAAGAAGACCACCCCUGCAACGGGGAACACUUCAAAGUCCCCUGCCAAAAAUAAGGACAUGAGCUCGACUCGGGAGUCAGCUCUGGUGGCCAAUGCUGCUGUUGGGCAGCGUCCUCCUGCCCCACCUCGAUUCAUGCCUCCUCCUCCCCAAGUCAUUCAAGCUGAGGCCCCCAUCGUCUAGAUACCAGUAGAUCCUUAGGACCUAUAGAAGAUCCCUGAAGCCUCUCGAGGUAUCAUCUAUGAGGCUGUGAGCCAUAUGGUGGGGAAUGCCUACAAAGCAAGCAUGAGGGACCUGAGGACCAUCGAGGAACGCAGCCUGGAGAAUGUUAUGAAAUCUUCCAUGGGGAUGAACCUCACUAUGAGUUCUCUCUCCUUACUUGGUGAAUGUUUUUUUUACUAUGACUUGGUGUAUAUCUCUGACUUGUUUUGUUAUUUUUUUACUAUGACUAGGUGAGGAGCUCCAGGCCGAGCUGAAUGCUGCCAAAACCACCCUGACUACUGCUCAAGAAGGUGAGCAGGCCGCCAAAGUUGCCUUGACAGCUACUCUUAAGAAUGAGCAUGAUGCCAAAGCUGCUCUCACCUCAUCCCAAGAAAACAAGCAGACUGCACUGUCUGCCUCCCCAGCUCAAGCUGCACAACUUCAGGCCAAGAUUGAUGAGGUCAAAGCAAAACUGCUCGAGGCUGAAGUCACAGCCAAAGAAGAAAAGGCGGCGUCAUCAUCGGCCAUGGUGGAGAUGCUGUACCAUUGCUGGGCCUUCAACCCGGAUGGGAACUUCUCUUUCAUGGAACCCAGGCUGUGGGAUCCGUACCUUGCAAAAUUCAAGGCUCGGCUCUUACAAGAACCGUCAAAGACUGGUGAUGCAUUCAAAAUGGCUGGGGAAGAUGACGAGGAGGUCACAUCUUCGGGGCGAGCUGAUGGAGCUCAAUGAUAUCUCCUUUAUAUUUGUUUUUCUUUGUAAUUGUUUAUCAGUUUCUUUGAUAUUAAAUAAUUGCC